rnacentral:rRNA from 1 species
UACAGAGGGUGCGAGCGUUGUUCGGAAUUACUGGGCGUAAAGCGCGCGCAGGCGGCCCUUUAAGUCUGACGGUGAAAUGCCGGGGCUCAACCCCGUGCCCGCCGCGGAUACUGGAGGGCUGGAGACACGUAGAGGCAAGCGGAAUUCCGGGUGUAGCGGUGGAAUGCGUAGAGAUCCGGAAGAACACCGGAGGCGAAGGCGGCUUGCUGGGCGUAGUCUGACGCUGAGGCGCGAAAGCGUGGGGAGCAAACGGG